rnacentral:rRNA from 1 species
UACAGAGGGUGCGAGCGUUGUUCGGAAUUAUUGGGCGUAAAGGGCGCGUAGGCGGUGCGGUAAGUCACCUGUGAAAUCUCCUGGCUCAACUGGGAGCUUGCAGGCGAAACUGCCGUGCUGGAGUGUGGGAGAGGUGCGUGGAAUUCCUGGUGUAGCGGUGAAAUGCGUAGAUAUCAGGAGGAACACCUGUGGCGAAAGCGGCGCACUGGACCAUAACUGACGCUGAGGCGCGAAAGCUAGGGGAGCAAACAGG